UUUGCUAUGGUUUCGUACGUGUAGUUUAAAAUUUUUUUAAACAUCUAAGCAGUGGAAGUAGAUCAAUUAAAAUAUUUUUAAUUAGAUCAUGUAUCAGAUCUAAUCUAAAAAUUAUAGUUAGAAUUUUGAUAUGAACAUUCAACCAUGAUCUAAAAUUUAAAAAAGAAAACAAACGGUUAGAAAGAAACAAAUUGGAGAUCAGACCUCCAUACCUC
rnacentral:lncRNA from 1 species